GGAGGGGUGCGUGAGCGGUCGAAACGAGCGGUCCUGAAAACCGCCACAUCGAAAGGUGUCGUGGGUUCGAAUCCCACCCCCUCCG
rnacentral:tRNA from 1 species